rnacentral:rRNA from 1 species
GUUUGAUUAUGGCUCAGGACGAACGCUGGCGGCGUGCUUAACACAUGCAAGUCGAACGAAGACACUGAGAAUGAGAGCUUCGGCAGGAAUUUUCUUUAUCUUAGUGGCGGACGGGUGAGUAACGUGUGGGCAACCUGCCCUGCACUGGGGAAUAAUCAUUGGAAACGAUGACUAAUACCGCAUACGGUUCUUUAGAGGCAUCUCUGAGGAAAGAAAGGAUUUAUUCGGUGCAGGAUGGGCCCGCAUCUGAUUAGCUAGUUGGUGGGAUAACAGCCUACCAAGGCGACGAUCAGUAGCCGACCUGAGAGGGUGAUCGGCCACAUUGGGACUGAGACACGGCCCAAACUCCUACGGGAGGCAGCAGUGGGGAAUAUUGCACAAUGGGCGAAAGCCUGAUGCAGCAACGCCGCGUGAAGGAAGAAGGGUUUCGGCUCGUAAACUUCUAUCAACAGGGACGAAGGAAGUGACGGUACCUGAAUAAGAAGCCCCGGCUAACUACGUGCCAGCAGCCGCGGUAAUACGUAGGGGGCAAGCGUUAUCCGGAAUUACUGGGUGUAAAGGGUGAGUAGGCGGCAUGGUAAGCCAGAUGUGAAAGCCUUGGGCUUAACCCGAGGAUUGCAUUUGGAACUAUCAAGCUAGAGUACAGGAGAGGAAAGCGGAAUUUCCUAGUGUAGCGGUGAAAUGCGUAGAUAUUAGGAAGAACACCAGUGGCGAAGGCGGCUUUCUGGACUGAAACUGACGCUGAGGCACGAAAGCGUGGGGAGCGAACAGGAUUAGAUACCCUGGUAGUCCACGCCGUAAACGAUGAGCGCUAGGUGUCGGGGAGGAAUUCCCGGUGCCGCAGCUAACGCAAUAAGCGCUCCACCUGGGGAGUACGACCGCAAGGUUGAAACUCAAAGGAAUUGACGGGGGCCCGCACAAGCGGUGGAGCAUGUGGUUUAAUUCGAAGCAACGCGAAGAACCUUACCAAGGCUUGACAUCUCCCUGACCGGCAUAGGGAUACGCCUUCCCUUCGGGGCGGGGAUGACAGGUGGUGCAUGGUUGUCGUCAGCUCGUGUCGUGAGAUGUUGGGUUAAGUCCCGCAACGAGCGCAACCCUUACCCUUAGUAGCCAGCAUUCAGAUGGGCACUCUAGGGGGACUGCCGUGGAUAACACGGAGGAAGGUGGGGAUGACGUCAAAUCAUCAUGCCCCUUAUGUCUUGGGCUACACACGUGCUACAAUGGCUGGCAACAAAGUGAAGCGAGACGGCGACGUUAAGCAAAUCACAAAAACCCAGUCCCAGUUCGGAUUGCAGUCUGCAACUCGACUGCAUGAAGCUGGAAUCGCUAGUAAUCGCGAAUCAGAAUGUCGCGGUGAAUACGUUCCCGGGCCUUGUACACACCGCCCGUCACACCAUGGGAGUUGGAAGCACCCGAAGUCGGUGACCUGACCGUAAGGAGGGAGCCGCCGAAGGUGAAGCCAGCGACUGGGGUGAAGUCGUAACAAGGUAGCC